CCCAUCAGCUUGUUGGUGAGGUAACGGCUCACCAAGGCAACGACGGGUAGCUGGUCUGAGAGGACGAUCAGCCACACUGGAACUGAGAUACGGCCCAGACUCCUACGGGAGGCAGCAGUAGGGAAUAUUGCGCAAUGGCCGAAAGGCUGACGCAGCGACGCCGCGUGUGGGAGGACGCCCUUCGGGGUGUAAAAGUCUUUCGGCGGGGACAAUCAUGAUGGUACCCGCAGAAGCAGCUGCGGCUAACUACGUGCCAGCAGCCGCGGUAAUACGUAGGCAGCAAGCGUUGUUCGGAAUUACUGGGCGUAAAGCGAGUGUAGGCGGUCUGCCAAGUCCGUUGUGAAAUCUCCCGGCUCAACCGGGAGCCGCCCGGGGAUACUCCUAGACUUGAGGACAGCAGAGGAGGGUGGAAUUCCCGGUGUAGUGGUGAAAUGCGUAGAUAUCGGGAGGAACACCAGUGGCGAAGGCGGCCCUCUGGGCUGUACCUGACGCUGAGGCGCGAAAGCGUGGGGAGCGAACCGGAUUAGAUACCCUGGUAGUC
rnacentral:rRNA from 1 species